CCACAGCUCGCACCUGAAAAAAAAAACAAUAAAGGCGAAGUUUACUUGCUCUCUCUGGAGCUCUGCACGUUUACCGAUGAUAACCACCAACCACCUCCGGUAGUGACGCCUCCUUCCGUUCAUGGCCACCGAGAGCGACGUCGUUUCACAGACCUUCAGAGCUCUGGUGGAGAGCGCUGACAAGAAGUUCGCUCGCGUCCGUGACCUCCCGUCGUACGGGCAUGCUCAAAACAACUACUUCCAGAAGGUUUUCAAGCCCUACAUGCGGCUAUGGAAGUACCAGCAAGAGAACAGGUCGAAGCUAGUUGAGGCCGGUCUCAACCGGUGGGAAAUAGGUGAGAUCGCUAGCCGGAUCGGCCAGCUAUACUUUAAUCAGUACAUGAGGACCAGUGAUGCGAGGUUCUUAGUCGAAGCCUACGUGUUCUAUGAGGCGAUUUUGCAUCGAAAAUACUUUGAAGGAGCUAAAGCUAAGGAUCUCGGUGUGAGAUUUAAGGAGUUGAGGUUUUACGCGCGGUUUUUGCUCGUUUCCUUGAUUUUGAACCGGACCGAGAUGGUUCAAUUUCUUGCCGACAGGUUUAGAGCUCUUGUUGAUGAUAGCAAGUCAAAUUUCCGGGAAACAAAUUUCAAAGAGUGGAAGUUAGUGGUGCAAGAAAUUGUCCGCUUUAUGGAAGCUGAUACUGCCUUUGCAAGUGUCAGGCCUUUGCGUUAUUGUGUCUUGUUUGAUUCACAUCCAACUUCUCGUCCAUAUGUGGCUCGUUUCCAUGUGAGGAAGGUCCUAAAGUUUCAAGAUGCAAUCCUGACAAGCUAUCACCGGAAUGAGAUUAAAUUUGCAGAAAUUACUUUGGACACUUACAGAAUGCUGCAAUGCUUGGAAUGGGAGCCAAGUGGAUCUUUCUACCAAAAGCAUACAGUCGAAUCAGUCUACCAAAAGCGUCCAGUUGAACCAUAUGAGAAUGGCACUGUAACUGAUCAUUCUGGAGCUUCUGGACUAAUAGAUUUAAACCUGGCUGCAGAUUUGACGGAUCCAACUUUACCAUCAAAUCCUAGGAAAGCUGUUCUUUAUCGUCCUUCAGUGACACAUUUUCUAGCGGUUAUGGCAACAAUUUGUGAGGAGCUUCCACCUGAAGGCAUUGUGCUGAUAUAUUUUUCAGUCUCAGGGAAGGCGGGCCAAAGUAAUACUUCUUAUGUGGAAAGUUCUGGAGGGUCAAGAAAGUCUUCAAAAAACAAAGUUGGUUCUGGAAUGUUCAGUGAGCAAAAUAGUUCUGCAUCUGAAUCUCAUUCUAAUGGCAAGAGAGAUUCGAGUGAUCAUAAUGACCAUUACCUAUGGUUAGGUCCCAGAGGAACUGCUGGUCCAAAUGCCCUUUAUCCUGGUGAUAUAAUUCCUUUUACUAGAAGACCACUUUUCUUGAUUAUUGAUAGUGACAGCAGCCAUGCAUUCAAGGCAGGUUUUGGUGGUAUAUGAGUAAUGUUAAUCGGACUUGGAGCGGCUACAAGUUGUAAGGCAUAUAUUUUAAUUGGGUUUAUGAUGCAGUCUCGGAUUAUGGUUCACGUUUGAAGAUGAAAAGGAGAGGGAAGCAGAGAAUUUGAGAGAGAUACUUGAUGAUUUCCCUUAAAUCAAUUGGAGUAUAUAUACUACUUAUAAGAAUAUACAAUAGAAAAUAAAAUAAAAUAAUCUCCUAGUUAUAGCCUAAUCAUAUCACAUAAUUAUGCACACAAUCACUACAAAUUUAAGCCAUUUACAAAAAUUAUCUCAACACUUUCCCUCAAGCUGGAGCGUAUAUGUCAUAUGCUCCAAGCUUGUUACAAAUAUACUCGACUCAUGAAUCUCGAAGGGAUUUUGUGAAAACAUGUCAUGAAAAACUAGAUUUGAUACAAUAUGGAAAGCAAUUUGAUUAUCACAUAUCAGUUUCAUUUGGCAAAUGUAGCUAUACUUCAAUUCCUGAAGAAGUUGCUUCAAUUAAAUGAGUUCGCAUGUUACUAAAGCCAUAAUUCGAUAUUCUUCUUCUGCACUUGAUCUUACAAUCAUACCCUGUUUUUUACUUUUCCAAGAUAUAAUAUUCCCUCCAAUUAUAAUACAAUAUCCUGAAAUAAAUUGUCUAUCCGAAAGAGAAACUUGUCCAAUCUGCAUCAGACUAGCCAACAAUUUAUGAGUGACUCUUGUUCUCAUAGAGUAAAGCCUGUCUUGGAGCUACUUUCAUAUAUCUAAGAAUGCAGAUGACUGUGUUCCAGUGACUACUGUAUGGGGUUUGGAGAAAUUGACUAACCACACUUACAAUAAAGGAAAUAUCUAGUUGCGUGAUAGUGAGAUAGUUGAGCUUGCCAACUAAUUUUCUGUAUAUCUUUAAGUGGCUCUCCCUGUUUAGGAACAAGUUUGACAUUUGGAUCCAUAGGAGUGUCCACAUGUCUAUAGUCUAACAUGUCCGUUUCUUCUAAUAUAUCUAAAGCAUAUUUCCGUUGAGAGAUCGCAAUACCUGUUUUAGACUGUGCUACUUCAAUCCCCAAGAAAUACUUCAAUUUUUCUAGAUCUUUAGUUUGGAAAUGACUGAACAAAUGUUGAUCAAGCUGAGAGAUUCCAUUAUGAUAAUUUCUUGUGAUGACAAUGCCAUCAACAUAGACUACUAAGUAAAUGCAUCUAUCAUCAUUAUGACGAAUAAAUACGGAAUGAUCAGAUUUAUUUUUAGACAUUUCAAACUUGUGAACUACAGUGCUGAAUCAUUCAAACCAUGCUCUUGGAGACUGUCAUAGACCAUAUAAAUAGCGUCGAAGACGACAUGCUAGGCCUGAUUUCCCCCGGCAACGCAAUAAGCCUUGAAGGUUGCUCCAUAUAAACUUCUUCGGUAAGCUCUGCAUGAAGAAAGAAAUUUUCAAUGUCCAGUUGAUGAAGGGUUCAGUGAUUAAUUGUAGCCAAUGAGAGAAGGAGGCGAACAGAAGCUAUUUUUGCUACUGAAGAGAAAGUACCACUGUAAUUAAGCCCAAAAAUCUAUGUGUAACCUUUAGCUAUAAGACGAGCUUUAAGGCGAUCAAUUUUGCCAUAAGAUCCCACCUUAACUGUGUACACCCAUCGACAACCAAUAGUAGACUUGUCAGGUGGUAAAGAGAUCAGUUUUCAAGUUCCAUAAUUAUGAAAAGCAGUCAUCUCCUCAACUAUUGCAUUACACUAACCAUAAUGAUCCAAUGCUUUUUUAACUGUCUUGGGUAUAGAAACAACAGACAUGGUGGAAAUAAAAGUAUAAUAGGAAGGAGACAAACGAUGGUAACUCACAAAAUUAUAAAUGGGAUGAGGAUUUUGAGAAGAGCGAAUACCUUUUCGGAGAGCAAGAGGAGUAGCUGUUGCUACUAUAGGCAUGACCAAAGUAGGUGACGAUGGAACUGGAGGUGAGUCAUUAGAAGUAUCUGCAUCAGGGACAGAAGUAUCAUUGUUAUUAGCGGAUGGGUGAGGCCGACGUGUGUAGACCUGAAGAGGUGGUGUAGGAGUGGGAGAUGGAAUGACGUGAGGCCAAGGAGAGAUAAGAGUUAAAGGUAUAGGCAAAACUCUAGGAACGAAGGUUUUGUGCGUUGGACAAGAAGAAAAGUAAGGGGAGGUUUCAAAAAGGGUGACAUCUGCAGAGACAAAAUAUCUGUUAAUAGUGGGAUCAUAGCAUUUGUAACCUUUUUGAAGCCGAGAAAAACACAUUUAACUGAUUUGGGCUGGAGUUUGUCUUUACUAGUGGGUGUGAUCAUGAACAACAUAUAUACAUUCAAAAACUCGUAGAGACAACUGGUUGGAGGUCUGGUUAGGAAAGAGAACUGAAUUAGGACUCUGAUACUGCAAAACAGAAGAAGACAUACGAUUGAUCAAGUAGCAGGCACUAAGGACUGCCUCGCCCCAAAAACGCAACGGAACAUUAUGAUGUAUGAGUAAGGUGCGGGCGGUUUUAAUCAAAUGUCUAUUUUUUCGCUAAGCAACACCAUUUUGUUGAGGAGUAUGGGCACAAAAAGUCUGGUGAGUAAUACCCUGAUUAGACAAAAAAUGAGAAAAAGAAGAGGAAAGAUAUUAUCGUUCAUUAUCACUAUGCAAAAUCUUAAUGCGAAAAACAAAUUGAUUAUGUAUUUCAACACAAUUUUUAAAAAAUGGAUAAUAACUCAAAGCGAUUCUUCAUUAAAAAAAACGAAGUGCAACGAGAAUAAUCUUCAAUAAAUGUAACAAAAUACUGAAAUCCCAAAGUUGUACUAACACGACUUGGACCCCAAAUGUUUGAAUGAACAAUGUCAAACAUCGAGGUGGCCCUGUUAUUGUCUUGCUAGGGAAAUGAAGCCUGAGUUUGUUUUCCAAAUUGACAUGACUCACAUGCUAAAGAAGACAAAGAAGAGAGACUAGGGACAAUUUCUGCAAUUUGAUAAGACUAGGAUGUUCCAAACGGUUAUGAAUAAGCUCAACGGAAGUGGUAGAAAUAAAAGCAACUAGAGAGGUUGAGAGGUAGUAGAAUCAUUGUGACUCAGAUCCUGUUUCAAUCAUUUUCCCAGUACUCCGGUCCUGCACCACAACAGAAUCAGAAGUAAAGGUUACUGAAUAAUUAAGAUUUUUGGCCAAUUUACUAAUGGAGAUUAAAUUAUAUAGACAUUCGAGAGUGAACAAGACAAUAGUUAAGGAAAUAGAAGGAAGAAGUUGUAUUUUUUCUAUUUUAUAACUUGAGUUUGUGAACCAUUAGUUAAGGUGACUUUAGAUGGUGUGGAAUGUGAAACAAGAGUAGAGAAAAGAUUAUGAUUACCAGAGAUGUGAUCAGAAGCACCAGAGUCUAAGAUUCAUGGAUCAACAGGUGAAGACUUAGUUAGACAAGCAAAGUAAUAACCGAAGUGAGCAAUGGUGGAAGAUGGAUGAUGUUGCUUAGCUGUUUGGAUCUGCAAGUAUUUUUUAUAGUCUUCUUUAGUUAAAGUGAUUGAAUCUAGUUCCUGAGAUUUAUUGGUAGGUUGUAGAAGCAGGCCUUCUUCAUUAGAUUGGGCAAGAUGAGCUGCUGACUUGCCAGUAUUAUCGGGUUGAUUAGACCGUGGUGGUCGGCCAUGCAAUACCCAACAUGUAUUCCGUGUGUGACUUUUCUUAUCUCAAUAGGAGCAAUGAAACUUUUUCCCUUUACCUUUGUGAUUUCCUACUUAUCCUUGAUUCCCUUGUUGCACAGUCAAAACUGAGAAUUUCAUAUCUGCAGCGUCACUCUUACUAAGGGAAAUACGUAAGAGCCUAGCUGACACAUCGUUUAAAGUUAGAAUAACUAAACCAAUCAAAAUUUGAUCUUUUACAGAGCAAAGGUCAGAUCGCAGUCCAAUUAAUGCCAAAACCAUAAAGAAUUUAUCACGUUAUUUUUCUUGCGCAUCAACAUAAUCAGUAAAAGGCAUAAGAGAAUUAAAUUCAUCUUUCAGAGUUUCUACUUGACUCAAGUAACUAGUGAUAUCUUGAUGAUUCUGUUGUAAGUGAACCAUAUCUGACACAACCUUAUGGAUGCGUUGUAUGUCAUUAGUAUAUAAUGUUUUGGUCUUAGUCCAAAUCUUACAACAAGUUUGGAUCUAACGAAUGCCAUAGAAGACUACAUAAUUGAGUAUCAUCUUAACCCAAUUGAUUCUAUUAGUGGUAGUGAUAUCAGUGGCAUUUUUUGUUAAAUAAUCAUCAUACCUCUGUUCUAAAAAACAUAAGUCUAUGGAUGCAACUCAAGACAUAUAAUUAUUACUUCCUUGCAAUUUCACCGUAGCAAAUUGAAAAGAAAGGUUUAAGGGACUUAGAACCUAUAUUGAGGGUGUUUUUCUUCUGAGACAUGUCAAGAGAGAUUUUGGAAUAAGGGACUGAAUAGGGACUUGAAUCUGCCAAACAAGGAGAUUUGGAGGAAGAUUCGCCGGCAUGAAACAGUCGCUGGAGGAUGGUUCAUGAGACAGAUUGCUUUGAGCGGUGUGGAGGCGCAUGGGACCGAUUUUGGCGGCGGUGCUUCACCGGGAAGCCAAUCGGAAGCCAACGAGGAGGAUGGCCUAGGUGGUGCGACCAAUUGAUUUCUAGAAAGUCUCCAAAGCAAAGUGGCAGAUCUGCUACUCACAGGCCUUGCAUGGUGCAGAAAGGGGAGAGCCAUCUGCAUUGCUACUUUCGCCUUUGAAGCCAGCAUUCAAGAAUUUAGCUUGUGUUGAUACAACGCAUAGUGGAAGUCAGUUUACCUUUUUUUUAACUGCUCCUC